rnacentral:rRNA from 1 species
UACGGAGGAUCCAAGCGUUGUCCGGAUUUAUUGGGUUUAAAGGGUGCGUAGGCGGGUUAUUAAGUCAGUGGUGAAAGCCGGCAGCUCAACUGUCGAACUGCCAUUGAAACUGAUAGCCUAGAAUCUAGUAGAGGUAGGCGGAAUGUAUCAUGUAGCGGUGAAAUGCUUAGAUAUGAUACAGAACACCAAUUGCGAAAGCAGCUUACUAUGCUAGUAU